UACGUAGGGGGCAAGCGUUGUCCGGAUUUAUUGGGCGUAAAGAGCGUGUAGGCGGCUUUACAGGUCCGUUGUGAAAACUCGAGGCUCAACCUCGAGACGCCGGUGGAAACCGUAAAGCUAGAGUCCGGAAGAGGAGAGUGGAAUUCCUGGUGUAGCGGUGAAAUGCGCAGAUAUCAGGAGGAACACCGGCGGUGUAGACGGCUUUCUGGACCGUAGCUGACGCUGAGACACGAAAGCGUGGGUAGCAAACAGG
rnacentral:rRNA from 1 species